UACAGCCAUAUCAUGAGGAAAUACUGAUUCCCGUAUGAUCACCAAAAUUAAGCAACAUCAAGCCUGGUCAGUACCUAAACGGGUGACCACUUGGGAAUACCAGGUGCUGUAAG